AGUACUUACACACAGUAGAUUUAUUUGUGCCAUGCCUGUUGACGUGUUUAGAGGUUUGUGUUAAUGAAGUGUGGGUUUUUUUUGAAAUUCAUUUGUAUUGUUAUGGAAUUGUUAUUAUCUGGAUAUUAUUGUGUUGGAUCUAGGACCAAUUUUUGAAGACUGUAAAUAUAGCCAGUCGAUCAAUUUCCUCCGAUGAUGAGUCCAAAAUUAUGUUCCAGUACUACAUGUAUCAAAAUCAUAGCAAAGUGGCCAGUACGUUGAUGCCAGAAAUUGUGUCUGUGAGCAGACAGUCCAUGGAAAUUAAAGAUGAAGAAGUUGGUCAUAUGUUAAUUAAUGGGAAUUGGUACAUCAGAGGUAAUUCUUGGAGGAGGAUCAUAAGAGAGCUGACGAGCAAAUUCAGAUAUGUCAGUGUCUAGAGAGGUCAUUGAUAUCGUAACUCGGAGUUUCCUGACUGAAACGGAUCAAAAUGCUAGUAACAGUGUAGAUCUGAAAAGAGGAACAGUUGACUUACUUCAUGUAUGAAAAAGAAGCUUCUGCUGAAGGUGUAUUUUAUGCAAUGCCAUACCAAACACAUGACAUUUCAAAUCAAGAGGCAAACACUGAAACCCAAAAUUGAUCAGCUGUUGUAUUAGACCAAGAGAUGAUGUGUCAAAAUAUACCUGCCGGUAUUCACAAAUAUGCGAAACAGAGCACAAAGCAUCACUCCGGCAGAGCUUCAAAUGCGACCAAAAAAAAAAAAAAAAAAAAGAGAUCAGUUUCUUUGUGUAAGAUGGACCUACUCUUUUCAGAAAGGCAUUUGAACUUUACAGCAUUACAGAUUCUGAUGUGUUUUGUCUCGUUCAAGGGAAAAAGAUGGCUGCAGAUGAUUUUAUGGUUCCGAAGAGUUACGGGAUAAGUUCUGUACAAUAUAUCUUCAUUCUAUGGAGAAAGAUCUGGUGUAUCAUGUGACACAAAAGCCGGACAGACCCAUCAGCCCUUAGAUAGAAGGAGGAGGUCAAGUAAUGCAGUGAAAGCUAAUGCUUCAGGUAAGAAGUCUUCCAGAAAAUGAACACACAGGAAGACAACAUACCUACAAAGAGCAAAGCGCGGCACAUUCCUCAAACUCUGUUACGAAAGAGAAGGGGCGAACCGGGAAAGUCAAAAAGGGAUCCUCCUGAGUGAAAUGAAUUAAAACAUGAACAUGCAUUUAUUUUUAUUCUUCAUUUUUAUGUUCUGUUGUUGUGUUCAGUUCCGAUUGCAAUAAAUACUGCAUAAUAUAUUACUGAAUAACUGGAAGGAAAACACUUUCCAUGAUUUAUUGAAUACAGUUACCUUGAAGUAUAGGCUUUUCUUUCUUAAUCGCUACACUUACUUUCUGAAACAGAUGGCCAGGGGAAAGAGACACUUACUAGUAAUUGUUAUAAUUUAUGCACUAUUUAUUUCCUAUAGUUACUUUUAGAGCAAUACUUGUGAGACAUGUGUACAAAUACUCAGAUAUACAGCAAAAAUAGUUAAAAUAUAGAUAUUAUUCUUUUUUUUUUGCUAUGCAAUGGCACUGUUUAUGCAAAGACACGGUUUUUACAAUACCGCUUCUGUAUAGAUAUUGUUUCGAAAUGGCACAAGAAAACUGUUUUUUUUUUCUAGUACUAUUCACUAUUUGUUCAUUUUUGAUAAUCUAAUUCACUAUAUUGUGGUGCUUUUUAAGUAUUGUUUACUGUGUCAAAAGGAAUUAGCCAUUUGUUUGUUAAUAUAAAUUAUGCAUACUUGGUCAUUUUAAUUGAAAACGUGUAACAGUGUGCAAGUGUUUAUGUGCAAAAGCUUUUAAUU